AUGUAUGUUUAGAUAAGAAUCUUGCUCGAUCGUUGGUCCGCACCAUCGAUAUCAAAAAGAAGAGGGAUAGCUGAGGGAGUGAGAAAGGGAGAAGAAGAUGUGUGCCCAGCGAGAGGGAAAAAAUUAAGGAAAGGAAGGUGGCUGCGAAGGUUGGCCGCGAAAGACUACAGGUCCAACGGAAGAGGUCCGGUUCAGGUAGCAGGUGCGACUUUGCGCACAGGAGUUGCUUAUCAAAAGAUCAAAAAAUGUUGGACCUUGAUGCCUUCUCCACCGUGGAGUUCAACAUUUUUGGUCGCGAGUUUCCUUAUCGAGCAGCCUGGUUGUGUCAAUACCGUUACCGACGACGAUCGGAUGUUCGCCGCGCGGAAAUCGAAUCGCUUAGUCAUUGUUUCCAUACUAUUGGGGCUACUCGAAGGCCAAAGGUGUUCGAUUAUAUCGCGAAGCGUUUUCCCGUCAAUCGUCGGAUACGAUCACGCUACGAAAGUACGUACAUAUCUUGUGAAAAAUACGAAAAAUGUGUUUGGAGAGCAAGAUCGGGUAGCGCCGCAUCCAUUGCUCUCGAAUCUAUGUAGCGUACCGAUAAUUCUGAUCACGAGUGCGUAGCAGAGAGUUGUUCACGAGCGAGUUCGUCUAUUUUUGGAGCAGCCAUGCAAUCAUCGCGAUUAAAGAUAAAAAUAUCAGUGAAAGGGGAGAUCGGCGUGAAAGAAAGUUUGGAACGCAGUGGACGGGCGAUUAGACGGGCGGACAGUUCGGAGGUGGAUUCCACUACGUGAUGGGUCAUGUUGGAUGGCGAUUAAAGCGCGCUAUCGCGCACCACGAUGCUGAUUUAACACAGUCUUCGGUUCUUGAUCACUUCACACGCACUGGUUUCAUAAGUUGAACCCCACGAGACACGUGCAGCGGACAGGUUCAAAACGAGCGAGCGAUUCCUGUCCGAUUUAUUUCUCUAUACGGGGUGCGUUCGAUCCUUGCGAUUGGUAAUCCAAAAUACUCAGAGACACUCGAAGAACUGACCGCGAGCGACAACGUUGGCUCGAAUCCAAAGACUGAAGACGAGGAUCACGGAAGCGCAGCGGAUCCUCGCUCGAUCGCGGUCGACGAUGUACUGACUCGCCUCGUGCGUUCGAGCCUCUUUCAUCGGAUACGCGUGCGAGGGAGUCCCGACUGGCCUGCGACUUCGCUGCCUCUUACCACUACCAACGCUAUCGCACCGCUGUAUUGGCUACCCGCGCACGGACACCACUACCAACGCGAUGGGCGUCGUUUCGUUUACUAGCGUGCACGUACUGUUAAAUGAGCGGGGACCAAAUACUUCAACGUUGUAGCAGUAACCUAUAUUGCUGGAUAUUAACAACAUGCCAUGGACUACCAUACUCGCAAUGUGUCCAGAAGGAACGGAACCAAAAACUGGCUUAAUUUUUGAAAACC